rnacentral:rRNA from 1 species
CGCUGGCGGCACGCUUAACACAUGCAAGUCGAACGAGAGAAGAGAAGCUUGCUUUUCUGAUCUAGUGGCGGACGGGUGAGUAACACGUGAGCAAUCUGCCUUUCAGAGGGGGAUACCGAUUGGAAACGAUCGUUAAUACCGCAUAACAUAAUUGAACCGCAUGAUUUGAUUAUCAAAGAUUUAUCGCUGAAAGAUGAGCUCGCGUCUGAUUAGCUAGUUGGUAAGGUAACGGCUUACCAAGGCGACGAUCAGUAGCCGGACUGAGAGGUUGAUCGGCCACAUUGGGACUGAGACACGGCCCAGACUCCUACGGGAGGCAGCAGUGGGGAAUAUUGCACAAUGGAGGAAACUCUGAUGCAGCGAUGCCGCGUGAGGGAAGAAGGUUUUAGGAUUGUAAACCUCUGUCUUCAGGGACGAAAAAUGACGGUACCUGAGGAGGAAGCUCCGGCUAACUACGUGCCAGCAGCCGCGGUAAUACGUAGGGAGCGAGCGUUGUCCGGAAUUACUGGGUGUAAAGGGAGCGUAGGCGGGAUCGCAAGUCAGAUGUGAAAACUGUGGGCUUAACCCAUAAACUGCAUUUGAAACUGUGGUUCUUGAGUGAAGUAGAGGUAAGCGGAAUUCCUAGUGUAGCGGUGAAAUGCGUAGAUAUUAGGAGGAACAUCAGUGGCGAAGGCGGCUUACUGGGCUUUAACUGACGCUGAGGCUCGAAAGCGUGGGGGGCAAACAGGAUUAGAUACCCUGGUAGUCCACGCCGUAAACGAUGAUUACUAGGUGUGGGGGGACUGACCCCUUCCGUGCCGCAGCAAACGCAAUAAGUAAUCCACCUGGGGAGUACGACCGCAAGGUUGAAACUCAAAGGAAUUGACGGGGGCCCGCACAAGCAGUGGAGUAUGUGGAUUAAUUCGAAGCAACGCGAAGAACCUUACCAGGUCUUGACAUCGUAUGCAUAGCUCAGAGAUGAGUGAAAUCUCUUCGGAGACAUAUAGACAGGUGGUGCAUGGUUGUCGUCAGCUCGUGUCGUGAGAUGUUGGGUUAAGUCCCGCAACGAGCGCAACCCUUACUGUUAGUUGCUACGCAAGAGCACUCUAGCAGGACUGCCGUUGACAAAACGGAGGAAGGUGGGGAUGACGUCAAAUCAUCAUGCCCCUUAUGACCUGGGCCUCACACGUACUACAAUGGCUGUCAACAGAGGGAAGCAAAGCCGCGAGGUGGAGCAAACCCCUAAAAGCAGUCUUAGUUCGGAUUGUAGGCUGCAACCCGCCUACAUGAAGUCGGAAUUGCUAGUAAUCGCAGAUCAGCAUGCUGCGGUGAAUACGUUCCCGGGCCUUGUACACACCGCCCGUCACGCCAUGGGAGUCGGUAACACCCGAAGCCUGUAGUCUAACCGCAAGGAGGACGCAGUCGAAGGUGGGNUUNNUNACUGGGGUGAAGUCGUAACAAGGUA